rnacentral:rRNA from 1 species
AGAGUUUGAUCCUGGCUCAGGACGAACGCUGGCGGCGCGCCUAACACAUGCAAGUCGAACGAGAGAUGAAGAGCUUGCUCUUCAGAUCGAGUGGCGAACGGGUGAGUAACGCGUGAGGAACCUGCCUCAAAGAGGGGGACAACAGUUGGAAACGACUGCUAAUACCGCAUAAGCCCACGGCUCGGCAUCGAGCAGAGGGAAAAGGAGCAAUCCGCUUUGAGAUGGCCUCGCGUCCGAUUAGCUAGUUGGUGAGGUAACGGCCCACCAAGGCGACGAUCGGUAGCCGGACUGAGAGGUUGAACGGCCACAUUGGGACUGAGACACGGCCCAGACUCCUACGGGAGGCAGCAGUGGGGAAUAUUGCACAAUGGGGGAAACCCUGAUGCAGCGACGCCGCGUGGAGGAAGAAGGUCUUCGGAUUGUAAACUCCUGUUGUUGAGGAAGAUAAUGACGGUACUCAACAAGGAAGUGACGGCUAACUACGUGCCAGCAGCCGCGGUAAAACGUAGGUCACAAGCGUUGUCCGGAAUUACUGGGUGUAAAGGGAGCGCAGGCGGGAAGACAAGUUGGAAGUGAAAUCCAUGGGCUCAACCCAUGAACUGCUUUCAAAACUGUUUUUCUUGAGUAGUGCAGAGGUAGGCGGAAUUCCCGGUGUAGCGGUGGAAUGCGUAGAUAUCGGGAGGAACACCAGUGGCGAAGGCGGCCUACUGGGCACCAACUGACGCUGAGGCUCGAAAGUGUGGGUAGCAAACAGGAUUAGAUACCCUGGUAGUCCACACCGUAAACGAUGAUUACUAGGUGUUGGAGGAUUGACCCCUUCAGUGCCGCAGUUAACACAAUAAGUAAUCCACCUGGGGAGUACGACCGCAAGGUUG